AUAUUGGGUUUAAACUCGGAGUACCUGCCAAUUUUCACUCAAGUCGAUAAUGACACAGGUUCUAGCAUUAUCUUCAACAUUACCAAGUCUUUGACAAGUGAAAGGAGAGCGCUUUAAGAAGCGAAGGGAGAGCAAUGAACAAGACGAAGAGCCUUCCGAUCAGGAAGCUUGGCUGCUCAUGGAGGGAAAGAUGGAAAACUGAAGGCGAGGGAAGGAAUCAAAAUCAGAAACUAAC
rnacentral:lncRNA from 1 species